rnacentral:rRNA from 1 species
AUUGAACGCUGGCGGCAUGCCUUACACAUGCAAGUCGAACGGCAGCACGGGGCAACCUGGUGGCGAGUGGCGAACGGGUGAGUAAUGCAUCGGAACGUACCUUUCAGUGGGGGAUAACGUAGCGAAAGUUACGCUAAUACCGCAUAUUCUGUGAGCAGGAAAGCAGGGGAUCGCAAGACCUUGCGCUGAUUGAGCGGCCGAUGUCAGAUUAGCUAGUUGGUGAGGUAAAGGCUCACCAAGGCGACGAUCUGUAGCGGGUCUGAGAGGAUGAUCCGCCAGCCUGGAACGGAGACACGGGCACGACGCCGACGGGAGGCAGCCGUGGGGAAUUUUGGACAAUGGGGGCAACCCUGAUCCAGCCAUGCCGCGUGAGUGAAGAAGGCCUUCGGGUUGUAAAGCUCUUUCGGCCGGGAAGAAAUCGCACGGGCUAAUACCCUGUGUGGAUGACGGUACCGGAAUAAGAAGCACCGGCUAACUACGUGCCAGCCGCCGCCGUAACAC